rnacentral:rRNA from 1 species
UACGUAGGGGGCAAGCGUUGUCCGGAUUCAUUGGGCGUAAAGCGCGCGCAGGCGGCUUGGAGAGCCCGGCGUGAAAGCUCCCAGCUUAACUGGGAGAGGUCGUCGGGGACCUCCGGGCUGGAGGCCGGUAGGGGUGAGCGGAAUUCCCGGUGUAGUGGUGGAAUGCGUAGAUAUCGGGAGGAACACCAGUGGCGAAGGCGGCUUCCUGGCCUGUUCUUGACGCUGAGGCGCGAAAGCUAGGGGAGCAAACGGG